GGCUCGGUGGCGAAACGUAUCGCGUCCACUUCGCAUGGUCCACUCUGCCUGAGGUUUCUAAGUGGAGGUUGCCCGUUCGAGCCGGGCCCGAGUCG